ACCACAGGGGCUUUACCUCAUGCGUGUACACCUGUGAUAUUUUUA
rnacentral:miRNA from 1 species